AACGAAGUGCCUGAAAAAAAGGAUUAUUUUGAUAGAAUAAAUCAUGUAUCACAUACCCUCGUUAC
rnacentral:tRNA from 1 species